rnacentral:rRNA from 1 species
UACGUAGGGUGCAAGCGUUGUCCGGAAUUAUUGGGCGUAAAGAGCUCGUAGGCGGUUUGUUGCGUCGGCUGUGAAAACCUGAGGCUCAACCUCAGGCCUGCAGUCGAUACGAGCAGGCUAGAGUGUUGCAGGGGAGACUGGAAUUCCUGGUGUAGCGGUGAAAUGCGCAGAUAUCAGGAGGAACACCGGUGGCGAAGGCGGGUCUCUGGGCAACAACUGACGCUGAGGAGCGAAAGCGUGGGGAGCGAACAGG